rnacentral:rRNA from 1 species
UACGUAGGGUGCGAGCGUUGUCCGGAAUUAUUGGGCGUAAAGAGCUCGUAGGCGGUGUGUCACGUCGGCCGUGAAAACCUGCAGCUUAACUGUGGGCGUGCGGUCGAUACGGGCAUCACUGGAGUUCGGCAAGGGAGACUGGAAUUCCUGGUGUAGCGGUGAAAUGCGCAGAUAUCAGGAGGAACACCGAUGGCGAAGGCAGAUCUCUGGGCCGUAACUGACGCUGAGGAGCGAAAGCGUGGGGAGCGAACAGG